CCUUCGAUAGCUCAGUUGGAAGAGCGUGGGACUGUAAUUUGAAACUCCGAAAUCCCAAGGUCACUGGUUCGAUCCCGGUUCGAAGGA